ACAAUGGUUGCAGAGGAUAUAAAUAUGAAUAUAAAAAAAAAGGUAACCGCCUGGAGAGUAGUUUUUUCGUUUUUAAGUGGAAUGUUCAUUAUCAUAAUAAGUAGUCGAUUAGGAGAACAGCUAUCUCACUACAGAGUAUACUCUUCCUCAUCUUUCAUUAUUCAUAUUUUAUGUCCUGGGACAUAGAUAUUCUAGAUACCCCCUUCUAUUAUGAAUCGCCAAAGUCUUCCUACUUCUCCAUUGUUACAAUCAGAUCCGAAAAAUGAGAAAUCAAUCAAAAUGGACCUGAAUUGAAUCAUGACUAUAUAAGCUAUUCUGAUAUUAAGAG
rnacentral:lncRNA from 1 species